GAUGAACGCUGGCGGCGUGCCUAAUACAUGCAAGUCGAGCGAACGGACGAGAAGCUUGCUUCUCUGAUGUUAGCGGCGGACGGGUGAGUAACACGUGGAUAACCUACCUAUAAGACUGGGAUAACUUCGGGAAACCGUAGCUAAUACCGGAUAAUAUUUUGAACCGCAUGGUUCAAAAGUGAAAGACGGUCUUGCUGUCACUUAUAGAUGGAUCCGCGCUGCAUUAGCUAGUUGGUAAGGUAACGGCUUACCAAGGCAACGAUGCGUAGCCGACCUGAGAGGGUGAUCGGCCACACUGGAACUGAGACACGGUCCAGACUCCUACGGGAGGCAGCAGUAGGGAAUCUUCCGCAAUGGGCGAAAGCCUGACGGAGCAACGCCGCGUGAGUGAUGAAGGUCUUCGGAUCGUAAAACUCUGUUAUUAGGGAAGAACAUAUGUGUAAGUAACUGUGCACGUCUUGACGGUACCUAAUCAGAAAGCCACGGCUAACUACGUG
rnacentral:rRNA from 1 species